CAAUCUGCCACAUUACCGAUUGACAAUAAACGUUUACUGUAAUGUUCAACUGUUGUCUAUCGUUUAAAUUAUUAUGAAAGCAUGUCGGAUUACCUGAAAUCGCUGGUCUUUUAUUGAUAAACUGGGAGGAGGGGUGCGAAUCGGUCGGUGUGAUGGCCGACGGCUGCGCUUACAUGACGCCCGUGAACAUCACGCCCUUUCCCAUCCUGCGCGCAGGCGGAAGUUUACAGUCCUGGCUCAUCCGAUUCUCCAUGCUCAGAGUCUAAUCAAACAAUAAAACAUCAGCAUCCGCCUCUAGCAUACCAUGACUGAACCGAGUCCGGCACAGAAAAGCUCACAGCCAGGUCAAGAGAUGGCGUCAGUGAAGCUGGAGGACUGCAGUCAAACACUGGAGCUCAAUGUGAUUGUCAAAGAAGAGGAAGAGGAGGAUGAGAGAAGAACCGAGGAAGAGAACGGGGGAGUAGAACAGGAAAGGGAAGAUGAACUGGAGAGGGAAGAUGGUAACAUUGACUCCGAUAUGGAAGAAGAGGAGGACCAGAAAGGAGGAGGAGAUCUGGCUAACCCAGGACUUGUUACUGUUAAAAGAGAAGAAGAGGAGGAGGAGGGGGUCGGAGAGGAGGAGGUUGGGGACAGGACCAACCCAGGUAAUCACUGAUCAGAACAUCGGAGACCAGUUUCAUGGAACCCAGCUCCCUAUAUAGAGCACUACCUUUGAGGAGGGCCCAGAGGGCUGAGUGACUGCUUAUAGCUGUCAUUCUUGUAUGUACUAAACUGUGCCCCCUAACCAAAUAACUCCUGAUCAGUUUAAAUUAAAUAGGGCUCUUAGAGGAGUCAUCUUCCCUUUCUACCUUCCUACACACCAAUGCAUAGUGUUAUAUACAGUAUAAUAAACUGGGUGGGUCGAGCCCUGUAUGCUGAUUGGCUGACAGCCUUGGUUUAUCAGACCGUAUACCACGGGUAUGACAUAACAUUUAUUUGUACUGCUCUAACUACGUUGGUAACCAGUUUAUAAUAGCAAUAAGGCACCUCGGCGGUUUGUGAUAUAUGGCCAAUAUACCACGGCUAAGGGCUGUAUCCAGGCACUCCUCCUGUAUUUAACCCCUGUGAUGUUGUUAUAGAAACAGGAGAGGGUGCCAGCUCAGACAGAGAGAGACCGUUCCUCUGCUCCCAGUGUGGUAAGAGGUUCACUGCACCAAGCAGCCUGAAGACUCACAUGCAGAGACACAGCGGAGAGAAACCCCACCAGUGCUCCGUCUGUGGGAAGCGCUUCCUGCGGUCCACAGACCUGAAGAGACACCAGAUGAUCCACAAAGGUAAGAGAGACACUCACACACCUGGCGUCGCUCCUCACACACCUGGCGUCGCUCCUCACACACCUGGCGUCGCUCCUCACACACAUCUCUCUUGGAACACUGUCAAUCAACGUAUCCACACCAGUGCACCUGUUUAUCAGUUACAUAAGUUGAUCUAUAUGGUGUAGGAUCAUUUCCAUGUAAAACGACCCAUGAGCACCAACGUGAAGUUCAUUGGAGCAUGUCAAAUUGGGUGUCAAAUGAAAGCAUAGAGCCUAUAUUUUUAAGAAAUGAAGGCAUACAUACAUUUUGAACCAUUUUCCAUCCCCAAAAAUGUGAAUAAGCAAAGGCUUAUUGGACAAGGGGUCUUAAAAAACAUCUACCAGAAAAAGUCCUAGAAGGUAUCAGAAAUACAUCAAAACAGAAUAAUAUUGAAGUAAAAACCCUGCCAACUAAUAUCAACACUUUUAUAUUUAGUUUUGGAUAAAUUUGACUGAAACAUUGCCUUGUGCCUUGAAAUACAGUUACUAAAAACCCACAUCUUGAAUAUAUUUUCUAAUGUCUCUCCCUCAUGAGGAGGAUAAUGAAAGUUCACAAAAGUAACAAGUAAAUGUAGACCUACCAAUUAGUUAUAGUGUUUUCACUGAUAUCAAAUUCGUUUAUGAAUUCAAAAUUAUUUGACCCCCCCUCCAAAUGUUUUUAUCGGUAACAGAAAUUCUGCUCUUGAAUAGACUAUAAUGGGACAUCAUAGUAGUUACAAACCUCAGUUGGGUCACAAACCAAUCAAUCACAUGUAUUUAUAAAGCCAUUCUUACAUCAGCUGAUGUCACAAAGUGCUGUACAGAAACCCAGCCUAAAACCCAAACAGUAAGCAAUGCAGGUGCAGAAGCACGGUGGCUUGGAAAAACUCCCUAGAAAGGCCGAAACCUAGAGAGGAACCAGGCUAUGAGGGGUGGCCAGUCCUCUUCUGGCUGUGCCGGGUGUAGAUUAUAACAGAACAUGGCCAAGAUGUUCAAAUGUUCAUAGAUGACCAGCAGGGUCAGAUGAUAAUAAUAAUCACAGUGGUUGUCGAGGGUGCAACAGGUCAGCACCUCAGGAGUAAAUGUCCGUUGGCUUUUCAUAGCCAGUCAUUCAGAGUAUCUCUACCGCUCCUGCUGUCUCUAGAGUGUUUAAAACAGAAGGUCUGGGACAAGGUAGCACGUUCGGUGAACAGGUCAGGGUUCCGUAGCCGCAGGCAGAACAGUUGAAACUGGAGCAGCAGCAUGACCAGGUGGACUGGGGGCAGCAAGGAGUCAUUCGACCAGGUAGUCCUGAGGCAUGGUCCUAGGGCUCUGGUCCUCCGAUUGAAAGAGAGAGAGAGAAUUAGAGAGAGCAUACUUAAAUUCACACAGGACACAGGAUAAGACAGGAGAAAUACUCCAGAUAUAACAGACUGACCUUAGCCCCCCGACACAAACUAUUGCAGCAUAAAUACUGGAGGCUGAGACAGGAGGGGUCGGGAGACAUUGUGGCCCCGUCCGACGAUACCCCCGGACAGGGCCAAACAGGCAGGAUAUAACCCCACCCACUUUGCCAAAGCACAGCCCCCACACCACUGGAGGGAUUUCUUCAACCACCAACUUACUAUCCUGAGACGAGGCCGAGUAUAGCCCACGAAGUUCUCCCGCACGGCGCCAACCCGGACAGGAAGAUCACGUCAGUGACUCAACCCACUUAAGUGAUGCACCCCUCCUAGGGACAGCAUGGAAGAGCACCAGUAAGCCAGUGACUCAGCCCUCAUAAUAGGGUUUGAGGCAGAGAAUCCCAGUGGAGAGAGGGGAACCGGCCAGGCAGAGACAGCAAG
ensembl:lncRNA